rnacentral:rRNA from 1 species
ACGGGAGGCAGCAGUGAGGAAUAUUGGUCAAUGGGCGAGAGCUUGAACCAGCCAAGUCGCGUGCGGGACGAAGGCCCUACGGGUCGUAAACCGCUUUUAUACGGGAAUAAAGUGCGCCACGCGUGGCGUUUUGCAGGUACCGUAGGAAUAAGGAUCGGCUAACUCCGUGCCAGCAGCCGCGGUAAUACGGAGGAUCCGAGCGUUAUCCGGAUUUAUUGGGUUUAAAGGGAGCGUAGGCCGUGCUUUAAGCGUGUUGUGAAAUGUAGGCGCCCAACGUCUGCACUGCAGCGCGAACUGGAGCACUUGAGUACGCAGGAAGUAGGCGGAAUUCGUCGUGUAGCGGUGAAAUGCUUAGAUAUGACGAAGAACUCCGAUUGGGAAGCCAGCUUACUGUAGCGCCACUGACGCUGAUGCUCGAAAGCGUGGGUAUCGAACAGGAUUAGAUACCCUGGUA